GUGAUUACGUAUACGCCACCGCAGGCACGCUGUGAGCGGCGUUUUGAACGCAAUUAGCUGUCUAAUCGAUCCGGCGACACCCUCGCUGACCCCCCUCCUCACACCACCGCACCCCCCGAUGCCCCCAAAGCCCCCGAGGCGCCUAAGACCCCCGCAAAAUCCCCAUUAUCUGUAUCUCUCGCGUUUUGCUCUCCGAAUCGAACGACAUUGGCAACGAACUUGACAUUGUCACAACGGCAGGAAAGGUUAAAGGGGGGCGGGUGAACGUCUGCUGAAUGCUAUAUAAAAACCGAAAUGAAGAGUAAAUCUGUCAUUGGUUGGCCACCGAAAUACCCUGAUUCGGAAUCCCCCAGCAUGCAAGGCAUAUUGAGCAGAGAACAAAAGCGUAAACAAUUUAAUUUGCUUAUUUAUGACUCCACUAAUCUGGCCAAAAUCGCCAAUCACGUUUCGGACUUAAGCGAAAUCGGGGGACUUUUAAAAGAAGCUCUUUAUUUCUGUACCUAAUACUCAGUAUUUUAUUACCAAUUAAUUUCGCAGACGUUCGGUUAUUGUAUGUACUUUACAUUUUCGUAGAUUCUAAAAUGAUAACAAUGUUUAAAAAUAUAUUUCUUAAAUAUAUAAUCGUGUAGAAAUUAAAAUAAAAAUGUAUGUAUCAUGUCUAUUUAUACAUACAUUGUCAUUAUUGUAGAAAAAAACAAAGUCAAUAAAUUAUGAUUAAAAAAAGAAGUUGCAUUACAAGUGAAGUGGACCCUUUGCUGCGUUAGGGUAUCUUUAUAAGGUAAACACAAAUGUUUCGUUAAUGAAAUUGCAGCUUUUUUUUUGUUUUCUUCUGUUUACGAAGCACAUCGUACUCGUAAUCAUCGGAAUCGGUGUGAAUACUGCGGCUGCAGUUGGCCAAAAGCCAGAAGCCAAUGGCCAAAAACCAAAAGAGAGACCAGAAGCUUAUCAGCCCUCUCCGCUCACCUGUCCACCUGUCUCUCGCUUUGGCCACCUUUGCUGCGGAAGAGGUGCAUAAAUUAUGCGAUAUCGAGCGGAAUGUUAAUGCCCGGCGCUCAUUCUACAUUUUCUGUCGCUUUUUGGACCCCCGGACUUAUCAAUAGGGCGAUGCACGCCGCUGCCACGCGGCCAGAUCGUUUUGAAAUGAAUAAUGCCCGAGCGGCUACUUUAAUUAACGAAAUCCGAGCCACGAAAUGUGGCAACUGUUUUUAUGACCACAACAAGCAGUGUAAUCAAGAUAAUGACGGCAAAUAUUUAAAUACUGAUUGCGGGCCAAUUUGACAAGUUCAAAUAUUUAUGGCUUAAUAUUUAGGUAAAUCAAGCAAUUUAGGCAAAGGCCCUGGGACUACAAAACGCAAAAAACGUUGUCUGGCCAAGUGAAACGAUAAGUUAUUUAUGGCCGGCAACCAGUGUCCAGAUAAUUUAAAUUGAAUCUGAUUUAUGGUGGCUGUAGGCAAAUUUCUGGUUUCCUGCUAAGUACCACCUUUCACCAGGGCUUUCCCCAUUGUGCUUUUUGCUCCCUUCCCAACUCCAUCAAUCAGUUUCAGCUUGUAAUUCUGUUUGCAUUACUCUCCGGUGUCUCGGCAAAUGCCAAAACGAAAAAAAAAUCAAAAACAAUAUAAAAAAAAACCCAAACACACUGAAUCGUUCGAUUAUAUGUAAAUGCCUUGCCAGACUGCUGAUAAAACAGUAAGAACGAAAACGUGAGUUUGUCUGCCCAAAAAAAAAAAACACCUUUCAAGAAAUACAUACAGUGUUCAUCAGAUAAGAGUCCCAGACCGGCGAACAUAUAUAUAUUUUAAAAUCGGAUAAUGCGGCUACGUAGAAGGGAAAUACCCAUUUGACCGAUAGCCUCCAGCAACGAAGUUCUCAAGUUAUAUUUCCGCUGAAAGGUUCAAAAAUCAAUAAACGAAAUGCCACUGUAAACUGAUCAAAACUGGUUAUCUGAGGACUGUUCCUACGUCAGCAUAACUCAAAAGCCUCAAUGCCCGCUUGGCAACUAAAAAGUACUUUAGCAAACUGUUUUUUUCUUCGCUUAAAAACUUAAUUUAAAAAGCAUAUUUUUGCUUUGUUUUUGAGGAUACGUAACAAAAAUUAUUUCUAUUUUUAUUACACUAUAAAUGCUGUCCCAAAUUAAUACAAAAUGUCUAAAUACUUGUAAUAAAUGUAUUGUAAAGAUCGAA